AAGUUUAGGUUAACUCGAACUCAAACCAAGGACCUUCAAAGCCCUAAACAGGGACCAUACCCCUAACUUCUG
rnacentral:tRNA from 1 species